CUUGGUUCCUGGAGCAGCGAUAGGAAAGUGAGAGGUUCCAGCUAGCGCCUGGCUCAGUGGAGGCAGUUCUACUCCCAGCUCCCAUGCCCACUAGGAAAGAAAACCAGAGAUAGACGGAAAGCUGGGGCUGGGGACAGAUGCAGCGACGGCCACCUCCCAAGUGGACCUGCGCCCACCCAGCCGAUUCUGCACAAGGAAACACACAAAGGCCCGUUUUUCCUCGCUUCCCGUGUCUGAAUCGGGCCAAGCAACCAGUUUGGGACCAGGAGGGACCACCGCUUGUGCUGGCCCCAACCCAGGGCAGCUCGGUGCCUGCAAGCAGAGCCUGCCUCGGGGGUCUGCAGCAGCAGGAGCAGCAGGACGGAGAGGCCAGCCACCAGCCGGGCUCAGGGCCCAGGAAGGUGAACGUGCGACUUCUUGAAGACCUGGCUUUGUCAGUCAACCUGGCUUGCCCAGCAGUGCGAAAAAUAAUGGAUGGAGGAUAUUCCCCUCUUGCCUUUCUUCUGCCACUAAGAGCAUUUUUUCCUUUCUGGAAAAUACCACUUGAUAAGGGGGAGCUUCUAUUUGGAUCUGGAGAAGGGGAAUAAUAAAGCAGCCAUU